AUCCCUUACUCACCAAUUCUUCUCUCUUCUUUCAAUAAAGUUUGAUUAAAGAUAUCAAAGCUAUCGGGAGCUCGGGGGUCGUCAAAGAUCAUCACCACACUAUCAAACUUCUUUUUGGUACCUUUUGGAAAUGUGAUUAUUAAAUUAUGGCAUGUAUAGGCUAGAAGUACUUUGAUUAUGUUUUGUGAUGUAUAAAUCUAGCCAUGUGAUUUGGGCUUGAUUAUGGUUGUGUAUAUGAAUGAGUUCUUGGUAUGAAAUAUGUGAUGCAAUAGGAUCAAUAUUGUAAGCGGACCAAUCUGCCUGGGCAUAAAUUAUACAAAAAUAAAAUAAAAUAACAAACAAAAUAAGGUCCAAAGUCCAACAAAAACACAGCCCGAUUGGCCUAUUUUUUACAGACCAAACCUUACCCAAGUACAAGCCCAAAAUGAUUUAAAACUUAGGCCCGAAUGGCCCAAAAAACAAAUAAAUUUUCAGCAUGGGUAACCUUAGCUUUGGGCUGCCGCAAGCCACUUCCACAACGUCCUCCACACGCGCCACCCUCCAACUGUACCUGCAAAAUAGAAUAACAAAUUUGACAGCCAAAUAACAGCAAGAAAAAUAGCAGUAACAAAUAGAGCAGAAAAUCAGAAAUUUAUAAUUUUUAUUUUUAUUACGGCUAUAUAAAACCGAUUGUAAACAGUGUAAGGGGAUCUUUUCACAGAAAUAUAAUACAGAUACCCACGUAGAUUCUAUAAAAAAAAAAAGUUUCGAUAAGGUGAUUUCCAGGGAUUUUGCUAUUUUGAUCUAGUUUUAAUUUUGCUUUUCUUUCGUUUUUUUUAGAUCCGAAAAUAAAAGAAAAGAAAAGGGAAAGGAGCAUACCCGAACCUAUCUUGGAACAAGGUCGAAAGGCUCAUUCUCGUGAGUUGCUAGCCACCAAGUAUGGUGGUGGUCCAGUGGUGCGACGGAAGUUUCUCCAGGAGAAGAAAAGGGAAAGGAAUAAACCCUUUAAGCUUUUAGGGUUAAUU